AGAACGAACGCUGGCGGCAUGCCUAAUACAUGCAAGUCGAACGAACACUUCGGUGUUAGUGGCGCACGGGUGCGUAACGCGUGGGAAUCUGCCCUUGGGUUCGGAAUAACAGUUGGAAACGACUGCUAAUACCGGAUGAUAUCGAAAGAUCAAAGAUUUAUCGCCCAGGGAUGAGCCCGCGUAGGAUUAACUAGUUGGUGAGGUAAAGGCUCACCAAGGCGACGAUCCUUAGCUGGUCUGAGAGGAUGAUCAGCCACACUGGGACUGAGACACGGCCAGACUCCGUACGGGAGCAGCAGUAGGGAAUAGUGGACAAGUGGGCGCAAGCCUGAUCCAGCAAUGACCGUCGAGAGUGACUGAAGGUCCGUUAGGGUUAGUAAGUCGUUCCGUUUACCGAG
rnacentral:rRNA from 1 species